UCGAUUCCCUUAGUAGCGGCGAGCGAAACGGGAAGAGCCCAAACCAACAAGCUUGCUUGUUGGGGUUGUAGGACACUCUAUACGGAGUUACAAAGGACGACAUUAGACGAAUCAUCUGGAAAGAUGAAUCAAAGAAGGUAAUAAUCCUGUAGUCGAAAAUGUUGUCUCUCUUGAGUGGAUCCUGAGUACGACGGAGCACGUGAAAUUCCGUCGGAAUCUGGGAGGACCAUCUCCUAAGGCUAAAUACUCUCUAGUGACCGAUAGUGAACCAGUACCGUGAGGGAAAGGUGAAAAGCACCCCGGAAGGGGAGUGAAAUAGAACCUGAAACCGUGUGCUUACAAGUAGUCAGAGCCCGUUAAUGGGUGAUGGCGUGCCUUUUGUAGAAUGAACCGGCGAGUUACGAUUUGAUGCAAGGUUAAGCAGUAAAUGUGGAGCCGUAGCGAAAGCGAGUCUGAAUAGGGCGUUUAGUAUUUGGUCGUAGACCCGAAACCAGGUGAUCUACCCUUGGUCAGGUUGAAGUUCAGGUAACACUGAAUGGAGGACCGAACCGACUUACGUUGAAAAGUGAGCGGAUGAACUGAGGGUAGCGGAGAAAUUCCAAUCGAACCUGGAGAUAGCUGGUUCUCUCCGAAAUAGCUUUAGGGCUAGCCUCAAGUGAUGAUUAUUGGAGGUAGAGCACUGUUUGGACGAGGGGCCCCUCUCGGGUUACCGAAUUCAGACAAACUCCGAAUGCCAAUUAAUUUAACUUGGGAGUCAGAACAUGGGUGAUAAGGUCCGUGUUCGAAAGGGAAACAGCCCAGACCACCAGCUAAGGUCCCAAAAUAUAUGUUAAGUGGAAAAGGAUGUGGCGUUGCCCAGACAACUAGGAUGUUGGCUUAGAAGCAGCCAUCAUUUAAAGAGUGCGUAAUAGCUCACUAGUCGAGUGACACUGCGCCGAAAAUGUACCGGGGCUAAACAUAUUACCGAAGCUGUGGAUUGUCCUUUGGACAAUGGUAGGAGAGCGUUCUAAGGGCGUUGAAGCAUGAUCGUAAGGACAUGUGGAGCGCUUAGAAGUGAGAAUGCCGGUGUGAGUAGCGAAAGACGGGUGAGAAUCCCG
rnacentral:rRNA from 1 species